GCAUCGAUGAAGAACGCAGCGAAAUGCGAUAAGUAAUGUGAAUUGCAGAAUUCAGUGAAUCAUCGAAUCUUUGAACGCAUCUUGCGCCCUUUGGUAUUCCGAAGGGCAUGCCUGUUUGAGUGUCAUGGUAUUCUCAAUACCCCAAAUCUUUGCGGAUAAGGGUGUGUUGGACUUGGAGGUUUUUGCAGGUAAUGAUUGUGUUACCAGCUCCUCUUAAAUGCAUUAGCAGAGAUAAUACUGCUACUCUCCAGUGUGAUAAUUGUCUACACUGUUAGUAGUGCGGUAUAACAAAAUGUCUAUGCUUCUAAUCGUCUUCGGACAACUUUUGACAAUCUGACCUCAAAUCAGGUAGGACUACCCGCUGAACUUAAGCAUAUCAAUAAGCGGAGGA
rnacentral:rRNA from 1 species